GAUGAACGCUGGCGGCGUGCCUAAUACAUGCCAGUCGAGCGAACAGAUGAGGAGCUUGCUCCUCUGACGUUAGCGGCGGACGGGUGAGUAACACGUGGAUAACCUACCUAUAAGACUGGGAUAACUUCGGGAAACCGGAGCUAAUACCGGAUAAUAUAUUGAACCGCAUGGUUUAAUAGUGAAAGACGGUUUUGCUGUCACUUAUAGAUGGAUCCGCGCCGCAUUAGCUAGUUGGUAAGGUAACGGCUUACCAAGGCAACGAUGCGUAGCCGACCUGAGAGGGUGAUCGGCCACACUGGAACUGAGACACGGUCCAGACUCCUACGGGAGGCAGCAGUAGGGAAUCUUCCGCAAUGGGCGAAAGCCUGACGGAGCAACGCCGCGUGAGUGAUGAAGGUCUUCGGAUCGUAAAACUCUGUUAUUAGGGAAGAACAAAUGUGUAAGUAACUAUGCACGUCUUGACGGUACCUAAUCAGAAAGCCACGGCUAACUACGUG
rnacentral:rRNA from 1 species